CAAGUACUCCCUCCGCCCGGAAUUACUUGUCAUCAAAAUGGAUGUGUCUAGAACUAAAAUACAUCUAGAUACAUCCAUUUCAAUGACAAGUAUUUUCGGACGGAGGGAGUACAAG
rfam:Triticum urartu cultivar G1812 contig696427, whole genome shotgun sequence.